UAGUCCUGGGAAAGGUACAGAGACGUAAAACAGCCCCUGCCCUGUAAGACAAUACAAUCUCAAUAAUUAAUCCUUGUGAUCAUUCAUGGUCAUUAAUAAUGAAUAAAAUGAAAAUGAAGCCAGCCCAGUCUAUUGAACAAGGUGCCAGGCACUGAAAGAUACCUCAUAACAUUGGCGUUUUCUUCACUUUAAAGAUGAGAAAAAUGAACUUCCAAGCGCUUAGGAAAUUUGCCUAAGGCCACACACUGAGGACGAGGAUGCUGCCCACCUUGUUUCUAUCAAGUAAUGAAGUCUGACUCCAAAGCCCACACUUGCAACCUCCUCGUUGCCCAUGUGUCCUGCUGUCAAGAAGAACCACGUCCCACCCCGGCCUAGCCCUGGUUGGCCGAGGGCCAGCAGGGGCGACCAUCACGCACCGUCAAAGCAGAUGAAGGGUUUCAGGGAGGAGCAGAUCACCGCAGAAACUCUGGGGGAAAAACUCCAGUAGCUGCGGAGCCCUGCACACAGUCCUGCCCCGAACUGGGGCACCUGCAGCCAGGCGGGGAU